GUUUAAAUAGCUUAAUAUAAAGUUUGAUAUUGAAGAUAUCAAGAUGAAUAAAUUUCUUUAAAUA
rnacentral:tRNA from 1 species